CUCACACCAUCUGAGGGUAGCAGCAAUGAAGUAGAAGAAGCAGGUUUGCUAACUCUGAAAUCCUUUCCAGAGUAGCCAGUGAGGGAACAUCCUGUCGCACAUUAUGGGAGCUACAGAGCAGUGCGGGGGAUCGGAGUACCUCUUGGAGUAAGUCCUCUGGCUUAUGGGACGUUGGCUCGAACCCUUUGGG
rnacentral:lncRNA from 1 species